AUUGAACGCUGGCGGCAGGCCUAACACAUGCAAGUCGAGCGGAUGAAGGGAGCUUGCUCCUGGAUUCAGCGGCGGACGGGUGAGUAAUGCCUAGGAAUCUGCCUGGUAGUGGGGGAUAACGUCCGGAAACGGGCGCUAAUACCGCAUACGUCCUGAGGGAGAAAGUGGGGGAUCUUCGGACCUCACGCUAUCAGAUGAGCCUAGGUCGGAUUAGCUAGUUGGUGGGGUAAAGGCCUACCAAGGCGACGAUCCGUAACUGGUCUGAGAGGAUGAUCAGUCGCACUGGAACUGAGACACGGUCCAGACUCCUACGGGAGGCAGCAGUGGGGAAUAUUGGACAAUGGGCGAAAGCCUGAUCCAGCCAUGCCGCGUGUGUGAAGAAGGUCUUCGGAUUGUAAAGCACUUUAAGUUGGGAUGAAGGGCAGUAAGUUAAUACCUUGCUGUUUUGACGUUACCAACAGAAUAAGCACCGGCUAACUUCGUG
rnacentral:rRNA from 1 species